rnacentral:rRNA from 1 species
GUUGUAAGGUUAAGAAAUUAAGCGUACACGGUGGAUGCCUAGGCAAUCAGAGGCGAUGAAGGACGUGUUAAUCUGCGAAAAGCGACGGUAAGCCGAUAAAAGGCGCUAUAACCGUUGAUGUCCGAAUGGGGAAACCCAGUGUAGGUGACUACACUAUCAUCUGAUGAAUCCAUAGUCAGAUGAGGCGAACCGGGAGAACUGAAACAUCUAAGUACCCCGAGGAAAAGAAAUCAACCGAGAUUCCCUAAGUAGCGGCGAGCGAAAGGGGAGGAGCCCAAGCGGGUAGCAUAAUGUAUUAGUGGAAGCGUCUGGAAAGUCGCACGAUAGAGGGUGAAAGUCCCGUACACGAAGAUGCGUUAUGUGGAAGCUUAUAGAGUAGGGCGGGACACGUGAUAUCCUGUCUGAAGAUGGGGGGACCAUCCUCCAAGGCUAAAUACUCCUGAUUGACCGAUAGUGAACCAGUACCGUGAGGGAAAGGCGAAAAGAACCCCGGGAGGGGAG